rnacentral:rRNA from 1 species
UUACACCUACGGGGGGCAGCAGUGGGGAAUAUUGCACAAUGGGGGAAACCCUGAUGCAGCGACGCCGCGUGAGCGAUGAAGUAUUUCGGUAUGUAAAGCUCUAUCAGCAGGGAAGAAAAUGACGGUACCUGACUAAGAAGCCCCGGCUAACUACGUGCCAGCAGCCGCGGUAAUACGUAGGGGGCAAGCGUUAUCCGGAUUUACUGGGUGUAAAGGGAGCGUAGACGGCGAUGCAAGCCAGAUGUGAAAGCCCGGGGCUCAACCCCGGGACUGCAUUUGGAACUGUAUAGCU